AACGUAGGACGCAAGCGUUAUCCGGAGUUACUGGGCGUAAAGCGCGGGCAGGCGGUCUUGCCAGUCUGAUGUGAAAUCUCUCAGCUCAACUGGGAGCAGCCAUUGGAAACUACAAGACUGGAGUCUGACAGAGGUAGGCGGAAUUCCGGGUGGAGUGGUGAAAUGCGUAGAGAUCCGGAGGAACACCAGAGGCGAAGGCGGCCUACUGGGUCAGUACUGACGCUGAGGUGCGAAAGCGUGGGGAGCAAACAGG
rnacentral:rRNA from 1 species